AACCUGCCUGUAAGACUGGGAUAACUCCGGGAAACCGGGGCUAAUACCGGAUGGUUGUUUGAACCGCAUGGUUCAAACAUAAAAGGUGGCUUCGGCUACCACUUACAGAUGGACCCGCGGCGCAUUAGCUAGUUGGUGAGGUAACGGCUCACCAAGGCGACGAUGCGUAGCCGACCUGAGAGGGUGAUCGGCCACACUGGGACUGAGACACGGCCCAGACUCCUACGGGAGGCAGCAGUAGGGAAUCUUCCGCAAUGGACGAAAGUCUGACGGAGCAACGCCGCGUGAGUGAUGAAGGUUUUCGGAUCGUAAAGCUCUGUUGUUAGGGAAGAACAAGUACCGUUCGAAUAGGGCGAUACCUUGACGGUACCUAACCAGAAAGCCACGGCUAACUACGUGCCAGCAGCCGCGGUAAUACGUAGGUGGCAAGCGUUGUCCGGAAUUAUUGGGCGUAAAGGGCUCGCAGGCGGUUUCUUAAGUCUGAUGUGAAAGCCCCCGGCUCAACCGGGGAGGGUCAUUGGAAACUGGGGAACUUGAGUGCAGAAGAGGAGAGUGGAAUUCCACGUGUAGCGGUGAAAUGCGUAGAGAUGUGGAGGAACACCAGUGGCGAAGGCGACUCUCUGGUCUGUAACUGACGCUGAGGAGCGAAAGCGUGGGGAGCGAACAGGAUUAGAUACCCUGGUAGUCCACGCCGUAAACGAUGAGUGCUAAGUGUUAGGGGGUUUCCGCCCCUUAGUGCUGCAGCUAACGCAUUAAGCACUCCGCCCUGGGGAGUACGGUCGCAAGACUGAAACUCAAAGGAA
rnacentral:rRNA from 2 species